AAGGUUCGUUUAUCUUAAAUGCAUCACACAUUUUUUCUGUUAUUUGUUGUAAACUUUUAACCGCAUCAGUUUGCAUAUUAUUAUACUAAUGUUUCCAUAGGGAGGAUUAGUUGUAGCUAUUUGUACUAUGCUCUGCAUAGAGACUAGAUCAAUGUUUACAUUUCUUUGUAUGGCCAAAAGGCGCAGAAAAAGUAAUAUGAAAUUUGAACAUACUUGUUUUAGAUAACAUGUAAAAGUUCAGUUUUCAUCCAUGGUGAUUUUCUUAUUGUAGCAAAAAAGUACAGGACAUUUUCCAUUUUCUUUUCUACAUAUGAGAAUAACUUUUUUCCUUUUUUUCCUGUUGCAGUUUUUUUCGAUACUGUUUUCUUCCAUUAAUUUUAUUUUUAAGAAUAACAGUGUUCUCUUACAGGUGUGGGGAAUUGUAAAAUGAAACAAAAUAUUAAAAGUGCCAUACCAUGUUCCAAUGCUCCAAGUGUGUGUCUCAUUAAACCUGUGGUGUUGCCCUUGUGGAAGGGCUGUUCUAUCUCUUGAGAACAUCAAUACCGCACAUGAGGAGUCCAAACAGGAUACUACCAUACAAACAUUUGAUAAUGCUUGUGUGUGAGUAUAUGUACAACUCUGUAUUCUUGUAUCGUGAGUAAAGGUGUUUUUGAAUUCCAAAAUGUUCAUGUUUAAGGAUUUUAACAUAUUCAGACAGUAACUGGAAAAUGGGCUUAUACUAUAACUGUUCCAAUCAUGUUUCACAAAACAAAGAUCUUCACAAAAAUCUACUAAUUUAACAAAUCUGCACACCAUCAUAUAUUAAAAAAAACAUGUCUUUACAAACUUAUACUUCUAUCCCUUCUACAUUUAUGCUUAUUUUCUCUGGAACUUUACAUUUGUUAAUAAGCACACAAAAGUCCACUGAAAUGAAAGUUAGCCACAACUGCCUUUAUAUUCCCCUACCCACAGGCUGUAGACAUAGACAUAACUGGUUCCAUAUCCUUGUAAUUUAUUUCUUUAACAAAGUAUUGUUUUCAGGUGAACAUAGCUGAGGAAGCUGUUAGGAGACUAACUGGAACAACCCUCCUGUUAUCCACCACAUGUGACAAGACAGCGAGCAGCAUGCGCUUGACUUCAUGUCCAUCCGAUGCGGGUUCUGCUUCUGUCACCACUGAAGAUAGCAUGGAACAUUUUCUU
rnacentral:lncRNA from 1 species